AUUGAACGCUGGCGGCAGGCUUAACACAUGCAAGUCGAGCGGGGGAAGGUAGCUUGCUACCGGACCUAGCGGCGGACGGGUGAGUAAUGCCUAGGAAUCUGCCUAUUAGUGGGGGACAACAUCUCGAAAGGGAUGCUAAUACCGCAUACGUCCUACGGGAGAAAGCAGGGGAUCUUCGGACCUUGCGCUAAUAGAUGAGCCUAAGUCGGAUUAGCUAGUUGGUGGGGUAAAGGCCUACCAAGGCGACGAUCUGUAGCGGGUCUGAGAGGAUGAUCCGCCACACUGGGACUGAGACACGGCCCAGACUCCUACGGGAGGCAGCAGUGGGGAAUAUUGGACAAUGGGGGAAACCCUGAUCCAGCCAUGCCGCGUGUGUGAAGAAGGCCUUAUGGUUGUAAAGCACUUUAAGCGAGGAGGAGGCUACUUUAGUUAAUACCUAGAGAUAGUGGACGUUACUCGCAGAAUAAGCACCGGCUAACUCUGUGCCAGCAGCCGCCGCCG
rnacentral:rRNA from 1 species